UGGGGAAUAUUGGACAAUGGGGGGAACCCUGAUCCAGCCAUGCCGCGUGUGUGAAGAAGGCCUUAUGGUUGUAAAGCACUUUAAGCGAGGAGGAGGGUACUGGUAUUAAUACUACCAGCUACUGGACGUUACUCGCAGAAUAAGCACCGGCUAACUCUGUGCCAGCAGCCGCGGUAAUACAGAGGGUGCGAGCGUUAAUCGGAUUUACUGGGCGUAAAGCGUGCGUAGGCGGCUAAUUGAGUCGGAUGUGAAAUCCCCGAGCUUAACUUAGGAAUUGCAUUCGAUACUGGUCAGCUAGAGUAUGGGAGAGGAUGGUAGAAUUCCAGGUGUAGCGGUGAAAUGCGUAGAGAUCUGGAGGAAUACCGAUGGCGAAGGCAGCCAUCUGGCCUAAUACUGACGCUGAGGUACGAAAGCAUGGGGAGCAAACAGG
rnacentral:rRNA from 1 species